CCCCAGAAGCGGCGCCCCACCCCUUGCACUGUUCUUCUUCUUCGUUGAGCCAACCCUCAACUCACCUGGAACUCAGGCGAGUUCACUCACAUGGUCCCCUCCCCUCCACGUCACCUCUGUUUUCCAAUGGAUUUGUCAGAGAGGAGUACGAAUAUUUCCUCAAAAUUGCGGAUUUUUGUACAAAAAGGAUAAUUGUUGGAUGAAUGGGAGUCGUGGAUAGAUGUGAAUCAAUCCACGCCCUCCAUUUGUCCCAAAAUUGUUCAAAAAACUUGAGGGAUUUUGGAUUUUGGGCAGAUUUUUUGAAAGCUAUAUAUACAAGAACUCCUCCUCUUAUGAAUGGAAAAUGACUUAUGAAUUAUGUGAAAGUCCUGUGGACCUAAUGCACAAAUUUUCGGCAGUUCCUGAUUAUCAAAUUUUAUAUUGAAAAUGAGCAAUUUGUGAAUGCGACUGUUUCAAUUUGUAAAUUUGAGUAAAAUGAUACAAGUCAAUUGUCUCCCUGUAAUAGAAUUGGAAUGUCUGUAUUUGUACUCUUUUUGUUUCUUUUUGUGCCAAGAUUAGUAGCGUUCAAUUUCAAGUUUGCCUUAAUGAAAGUGGCACCAGAAUGUUAGCUAAAAUGAGGUUCACAACUAAGGUGUACACAAAGUUUUCUUUUCUGUAAUAAGGAAGAACACGCUUAUGCAUUUGAUAUGGAGAUUGCAACUUUUUCUCUUAA